rnacentral:rRNA from 1 species
UACGAGAGGUGCAAGCGUUAUUCGGAAUUAUUGGGCGUAAAGGGCGCGUAGGCGGGUCAUUAAGUUUGUUGUUAAAUCCUCUGGCUUAACCAGAGACAAGCAAUAAAAACUGGUAACCUAGAGCGUGAGAGAGAGAAGUGGAAUUCCCGGAGUAGCGGUAAAAUGCGUAGAUCUCGGGAGGAACACCAAUGGCGAAGACUGCUUCUUGGCUCAUUGCUGACGCUGAGGCGCGAAAGCGUGGGGAGCAAACAGG